rnacentral:rRNA from 1 species
UACGGGGGGGGCAAGCGUUGUUCGGAAUUACUGGGCGUAAAGGGCUUGUAGGUGGCCAACUAAGUCAGACGUGAAAUCCCUCGGCUUAACCGAGGAACUGCGUCUGAUACUGGAUGGCUCGAGUGUGGGAGAGGGAUGCGGAAUUCCAGGUGUAGCGGUGAAAUGCGUAGAUAUCUGGAGGAACACCGGUGGCGAAGGCGGCGUUCUGGACUGCAUCUGACACUGAAAGACGAAAGCCAGGGGAGCAAACGGG